CAGCAGCCGCGGGAAUACGUAGGGUGCAAGCGUUAAUCGGAAUUACUGGGCGUAAAGCGUGCGCAGGCGGUUAUAUAAGACAGAUGUGAAAUCCCCGGGCUCAACCUGGGAACUGCAUUUGUGACUGUAUAGCUAGAGUACGGCAGAGGGGGAUGGAAUUCCGCGUGUAGCAGUGAAAUGCGUAGAUAUGCGGAGGAACACCGAUGGCGAAGGCAAUCCCCUGGCCUGUACUGACGCUCAUGCACGAAAGCGUGGGGAGCAAACAGGAUUAGAUACCCCUGUAGUCCCUGUCUCUUAUACC
rnacentral:rRNA from 1 species